UUACUGUAAAAAUCCACAGUACUAUACUGUAUGUAUACAUUACAGUACAGUACUGCAGUUCAUAAUGCAUUCUGGGUAAAUUUGUUUGAGCGGGAAAAUUUUACAGUAUAUUUUGGUCUUGAUGUAACCUUGCUGUAGCCAUUGCUGUAAUGUGCCAGGUGUACUUGCAAUAAUCAGAGAAAGUGCGCCAGAGUCAAAUCACACAGAGGGAGAGAGAGCACAACUCCUGGCUGCAGCUGAAGGAGGACGAUUGAUUUCUGGCAGUUCGUCUUACCAUUGCUUGUAAGCUGGAUUGGGUAAGAUGGAUCAUCUUUAAAGGCACCAGGAGUUAAGGCAGAUGUGGAGGCACAACGGGUGAUACCAGACACACACCAAGCACAUUAUGUUCGGACAUUCAAUCAUGACAGGAUCCAGGUGGAUGCUGUCCAUUGAUGAAAGAGUUUGUUCAGCGGUUUCUGGAUAGAAUUAAUUCCAAAGAUGGGAAAAAGUGCACAUCCAGACAAGGAGCAAGCAAAAAGACAAGGAACUUGGUGCAGAGAAAAGCUGUGGCCAUUAACCCCCAUGUGAACAGCUUCAUGCAGUCCCUGAUUGAGUUCGAAUGGACGACUUCAAAGUAAAGGCCACUGUGGUCUGUCUGCCACAGUUUAAUGCAUUUAUUUUUAGUGUUAAAUGAAACUUAAGUAGAAUAUUUAAAACUAUGGGCCAGUGUUCUUUUUACCACAGUGAAAUGUUACCUUUUAGUCGAUGAUGGACUUUAAACUGAAAACUUCAAACUAUGGACCAGUGUUCUAUUUGCCAGAGUUAAAUAUGUUACAGCAGGGGUCUCCAAACUUGUUUAUACUUGUUGAUUUUAUUUUAUGUUACUUGAUUAUAUGUUUAUUAUUGUUUAAAAUCUUGUUUUAAAUAUGUUUGUUUCAAUUAAAUGUUUUUUUAAAUAAAAUUUUGAUACAUACAUUGCUUUGAUUGCCUUUUAAUUCAUUAUGUUUUAAUUUAGCAUUUUUACCAUAUUAAUAACUAUAGAUUUAAACCUAAAUCUCUAGCUAUUUUAUAUAAUAUUAUUGUAUUAACUGUAAUAAGUAAUAAAUAGUAUUUAUGGGUCAAUAUAGACAUUACAGUAAAUUACUGUAAAAAUAGACUACUGUAAUAAAAUAUUGUAAAAUUACAGUACAGUACUGCUUUGUAACUAUACAGUACUAGUUUGUGUACUGUAAAAGGGUAUUACAGUACAGUACUGUAAAACCAAAAUACAGUAACUUACUGGCAACCGUGCUGCCAGUACCGUACUGUAAAAAUA